UGGGGAAUCUUGCGCAAUGCGCGAAAGCGUGACGCAGCAACGCCGCGUGGGGGAAGACGGCCUUAGGGUUGUAAACCCCUUUCAGGAGGGACGAAGGUCGGCGCGUUAAUAGCGGGUCCGACUGACGGUACCUCCACAAGAAGCCCCGGCUAACUACGUGCCAGCAGCCGCGGUAAUACGUAGGGGGCAAGCGUUGUCCGGAAUUAUUGGGCGUAAAGAGCGUGUAGGCGGUCCGGUAAGUCAGCUGUGAAAGUCAAGGGCUCAACCCUUGAAAGCCGGUUGAUACUGUCGGGCUAGAGUCCGGAAGAGGCGAGUGGAAUUCCCGGUGUAGCGGUGAAAUGCGCAGAUAUCGGGAGGAACACCAAUGGCGAAGGCAGCUCGCUGGGACGGUACUGACGCUGAGACGCGAAAGCGUGGGGAGCAAACAG
rnacentral:rRNA from 1 species